UGAGUUUGAUCCUGGCUCAGACCGAAUGCUGUAUGUGGGCUUAAUACAUGUUAGUUGAACGAUUCUUAUAAAGAAUAGUGGCACACGCGUGAGUAAAUUAUCUUAUUUUUACCCUUUUUAAAAUAUAAUAAGAGUUAUCUCGCAAAAGGAUAGAAUUUGAUAGGGUAUUAGGUUUACAAUUUUGUGCCGAUGAUGCCUAAAGGGCUUUAACGAGCGAACCUUCACGAUGGGACUGAGACAAGGCCCAUACUCUCUUAAGAGUCAUCAGUAAGGAAUCUUGGGCAAUGGACGAAAGUCUGACCCAGCCACACAUAAAGGUGAAGAAAUCGAAAGAUGUAAAACCAUACUUUUUAAUAAAAGUUUGAUAUGAUUAAAAAGUUAGUCCAGCACAACACCAGUGCCAGAAUGCUCGGUUAUACUGGGUGGGCAAGCAUUGGUCUAACACUAGGCGUAAAAAGUUCGUAGGUUGAAUUUUGCUGUUAGUUAAGAAAACUUAAUACCUCCUAUUAAGAUUAUAGCUAAAACGAAAAUUCUCGAGUGCGUUAAAGGAAAGCCGAAUUUUGUAAGGAAGGGUAGAAUCUUUAGAUUUACAAAGGACGACCAAUGGCGAAGGCAGCUUUCUGGGGCGUUACUGACAUUGAGGAACGAAAGCGUAGGUAGCAAAUUGGAUUAGAUACCCAAGUAGUCUACGCCGUAAACGAUGAAUAUUCAAAGUUGGUGAAAACCUGCUUUCAAGUUAACACGUUAAAUAUUCUGCCUGAAUAGUACGGUCUCAAGACUAAAACUCAAAGGAAUAGACGGGAGUUGAAAUAGAUGGUGGACCAUGAAGUUUAAUGCGAUAAUACGCGCGAAACCUUACCAGUUUUAGACGGUAACUCUUUUUUUAAUAAAAAAAGAACGGUUGCCAAGGUGUUGCAUGGCUGUCGUCAGCUCGUGUUGUGAAACGGUUGAUUUACUUCAUUUAACGAGCGAAACCCUCUUUUUUUGAGGUAAAAUUUUUACUUUACCCAAAAAAUAUUGCUUAGGAAAACUUUGCUGAAAGUGAGGAUGACGUCAAGUCUUUAUGAUCCUUAUAGACUGGGCUACAAAUGUGGUACAAUGAAAACUACAAUAAGAAGCUAAAAUGAAAAUUGGCGCUAAACUAGAAAAGUUUUCUUAGUUCGGAUUGCAAGCUGCAAUUCGCUUGCAUGAAGUUGGAAUCAUGAGUAAUCGCGAAUCAUCACGUCGCGGUGAACUUUACCUCAACUUUGUACUCACCGCCUGUCAAGCCCUUCGAGUUUUUGCUUUCCGAAGUUUUUGGCUAACUAAAAAUGGCUUAUUUUUAGUUGUAGUUUUGAAUAAAGAAGGAGAAAGCAAGAAGGGUUAAGUCAUAACAAGGUAGUGGUUCGGGAACGAGCUGCUG
rnacentral:ncRNA from 1 species